UACAGAGGGUGCGAGCGUUGUUCGGAAUUACUGGGCGUAAAGGGCGCGUAGGCGGCCUGCUAAGUCGAACGUGAAAUCCCUGGGCUCAACCCAGGAACUGCGUCCGAUACUGGUUGGCUUGAAUCCGGGAGAGGGAUGUGGAAUUCCAGGUGUAGCGGUGAAAUGCGUAGAUAUCUGGAGGAACACCGGUGGCGAAGGCGACAUCCUGGACCGGCAUUGACGCUGAGGCGCGAAAGCCAGGGGAGCAAACGGG
rnacentral:rRNA from 1 species